rnacentral:rRNA from 1 species
UGAACGCUGGCGGUAGGCCUAACACAUGCAAGUCGAACGGCAGCACAGGAGAGCUUGCUCUCUGGGUGGCGAGUGGCGGACGGGUGAGGAAUACAUCGGAAUCUACUUUUUCGUGGGGGAUAACGUAGGGAAACUUACGCUAAUACCGCAUACGACCUACGGGUGAAAGCAGGGGACCUUCGGGCCUUGCGCGAUUGAAUGAGCCGAUGUCGGAUUAGCUAGUUGGCGGGGUAAAGGCCCACCAAGGCGACGAUCCGUAGCUGGUCUGAGAGGAUGAUCAGCCACACUGGAACUGAGACACGGUCCAGACUCCUACGGGAGGCAGCAGUGGGGAAUAUUGGACAAUGGGCGCAAGCCUGAUCCAGCCAUACCGCGUGGGUGAAGAAGGCCUUCGGGUUGUAAAGCCCUUUUGUUGGGAAAGAAAUCCAGCUGGCUAAUACCCGGUUGGGAUGACGGUACCCAAAGAAUAAGCACCGGCUAACUUCGUGCCAGCAGCCGCGGUAAUACGAAGGGUGCAAGCGUUACUCGGAAUUACUGGGCGUAAAGCGUGCGUAGGUGGUCGUUUAAGUCCGUUGUGAAAGCCCUGGGCUCAACCUGGGAACUGCAGUGGAUACUGGGCGACUAGAGUGUGGUAGAGGUAGCGGAAUUCCUGGUGUAGCAGUGAAAUGCGUAGAGAUCAGGAGGAACAUC